ensembl:snRNA U6 U6 spliceosomal RNA
GUGCUUGCUUCACAGCAUAUACUAAAAUUGAAAUGAUAUACAGAAGAUUAGUAUAGCCCCUGUCCAAGGAUGACACAUAAAUUUGUCUGAAAGCAUUCUAUAUUUU